UACGGAGGGUGCAAGCGUUAUCCGGAUUCACUGGGUUUAAAGGGCGCGCAGGCGGCUUUGUAAGUCCGUGGUGAAAGGCUUAAGCUUAACUUGGGAACUGCCAUUGAUACUAUAAGUCUUGAAUGUUGUUGAGGUUUGCGGAAUGGGUCAUGUAGCGGUGAAAUGCAUAGAUAUGACCCGGAACACCUAUUGCGAAGGCAGCAGGCUAAACAAAUAUUGACGCUGAGGCUCGAAAGCGUGGGGAUCAAACAGG
rnacentral:rRNA from 1 species